rnacentral:rRNA from 1 species
CGUGAGGGAAAGGUGAAAAGAACCCCGGGAGGGGAGUGAAAUAGAACCUGAAACCUUAUGCUUACAAGCAAAGGGAGCGCAAGUGACCUUGUACUUUUUGUAGAACGGGCCAACGAGUUAUGGUAUGUAGCAAGGUUAAGGUGUUAAGCACCGGAGCCGUAGCGAAAGCGAGUCUUAACUGGGCGUCAAGUUGCAUGCUGUAGACCCGAAACCGGGUGACCUAUCCAUGUGCAGGUUGAAGUAUCCGUAAAAGGAUAUGGAGGACCGAACUCAUGUCUGUUGAAAAAGGCUGGGAUGACGUGUGGAUAGCGGUGAAAUUCCAAUCGAACCCGGAUAUAGCUGGUUCUCCUCGAAAUAGCUUUAGGGCUAGCCUCAGUUAAAGAUACUCGGAGGUAGAGCACUGAAUGUUCUAGGGGCCUUCACCGGUUACCGAAAACUAUCAAACUCCGAAUGCCGAAGUAUUGUUUACUGGGAGUCAGACUAUGUGAGAUAAGUUUCAUAGUCGAAAGGGAAACAGCCCAGACCAACAGCUAAGGUCCCCAAAUGUAAGUUAAGUGGAAAAGGAUGUGGAGCUGCAUAGACAACUAGGAUGUUGGCUUAGAAGCAGCCACUCAUUUAAAGAGUGCGUAAUAGCUCACUAGUCGAGUGGCUCUGCGCCGAAGAUAAACGGGGCUAAAACUUACUACCGAAGCUUUGGAAUAAUCCUAACGGAUUAUUGGUAGAGGAGCAUCGUAUACGGGCAGAAGGUGUAUUGUAAGGUAUGCUGGACUGUAUACGAGAGAGAAUGUUGGCAUGAGUAGCGUAAGGCAGGUGAGAAUCCUGCCCACCGAAAAUCUAAGGUUUCCUGAGGAAGGUUCGUCCACUCAGGGUAAGUCGGGACCUAAGCCGAGGACGAAGGUCGUAGGCGAUGGACAACAGGUUGAGAUUCCUGUACCACCGAAAAUCGUUUGAGCGAUGUGGGGACACAGAAGGAUAAGCUGAGCGCGCCGUUGGUUGAGCGCGUCUAAGCGUCAAGGGAGAACUGGUAGGCAAAUCCGCCGGUUCAAUUCUGAGGCGUGAUGGGGAGGGAAAUUAGAGUACCGAAGCAGCUGAUUUCACACUGUCAAGAAAAGCCGCUAGCGAGAUCGUAGGUGCCCGUACCGCAAACCGACACAGGUAGAUGAGGAGAGAAUCCUAAGGUGAGCGAGAGAACUAUUGUUAAGGAACUCGGCAAAAUAACCCCGUAACUUCGGGAGAAGGGGUGCCAGCGCAAGCUGGCCGCAGUGAAAAGGCCCAGGCGACUGUUUACCAAAAACACAGGUCUCUGCUAAAGCGAAAGCUGAUGUAUAGGGGCUGACGCCUGCCCGGUGCUGGAAGGUUAAGGGGACUGCUUAGUCGCAAGGCGAAGGCAUGAACUUAAGCCCCAGUAAACGGCGGCCGUAACUAUAACGGUCCUAAGGUAGCGAAAUUCCUUGUCGGGU